UACGAAGGGGGCUAGCGUUGCUCGGAAUCACUGGGCGUAAAGGGUGCGUAGGCGGGUCUUUUAAGUCAGGGGUGAAAUCCUGGAGCUCAACUCCAGAAUUGCCUUCGAUACUGUAGAGCUUGAGACCGGAAGAGGUAAGUGGAACUGCGAGUGUAGAGGUGAAAUUCGUAGAUAUUCGCAAGAACACCAGUGGCGAAGGCGCUUAC
rnacentral:rRNA from 1 species